rnacentral:rRNA from 1 species
UACAGAGGUCCCAAGCGUUGUUCGGAUUCAUUGGGCGUAAAGGGUGCGUAGGUGGCGCUGUAAGUCGGGUGUGAAAUUUCGGAGCUUAACUCCGAAACUGCAUUCGAUACUGCGGUGCUUGAGGACUGGAGAGGAGACUGGAAUUCAUGGUGUAGCAGUGAAAUGCGUAGAGAUCAUGAGGAAGACCAGUGGCGAAGGCGGGUCGUCUGGACAGUUCCUGACACUGAGGCACGAAGGCCAGGGGAGCAAACGGG